GUCCACGCCGUAAACGGUGGAUGCUGGAUGUGGGCCCGUUCCACGGGUUCCGUGUCGGAGCUAACGCGUUAAGCAUCCCGCCUGGGGAGUACGGCCGCAAGGCUAAACUCAAGAAUUGACGGGGCCCGCACAAGCGGCGGAGCAUGCGGAUUAAUUCGAUGCAACGCGAAGAACCUUACCUGGGCUUGACAUGUUCCCGACGGUCGUAGAGAUACGGCUUCCCUUCGGGGCGGGUUCACAGGUGGUGCAUGGUCGUCGU
rnacentral:rRNA from 1 species